rnacentral:lncRNA from 1 species
AUAGUUCUCAUAGUUCUAACCAUUAAUUUCCAGCCCUGCUCUCAUCCAUAAUGCUUGCUUUUUGCUUCCAUCAGAUGCUUCGAGGACAAAUCAGACCUGAGGAUUCUGAACAGGCUCCAUGGAAAAGUCCCUGUUCCAGAGGCCUAGCUGUCACAAUCCUGAUUUCUAUACCUCUUCAGUCUAGAUGCUUGCAUCGCAGGGAGACAAGAACAGGUGGAGUGCCCACACUGCAGUCUCCAGACGCAGCAGAUUUCCUUGCUCAGCUGCUUCAUUUCACCUCAGGCAAACUCUGCUCUCCAGCCCAGCAUUUCUACUGCUCAGUCAGGCUGCCCUCCCCUUUGAAAAUUAUACAAGGUCUUGGACAGCCCAAUCCUUGUGCCUCAGCUUUAAGAGGUCCAGUCGGCACCCCCCGGCCUUCCACUGCCUUUUCAUUCUCAGGUGGCUCUCCCAGGUCCACAGAUAUAAACACACAGUGAUACCAGAAGGCAUACAGAGCAGACAUUGAGAGCCUACAGAUGCCAAAUUUGCUGGGUUUGAUCCAUUACCCAGUGACUUGAAUUGAGCACUUACAAGCCAGCUCCCUUAAACAAAACUUGGUUUCAG